rnacentral:rRNA from 1 species
UAGGGAAUCUUCCGCAAUGGACGCAAGUCUGACGGAGCAACGCCGCGUGAGUGAAGAAGGAUUUCGGUUCGUAAAACUCUGUUUUUAGAGAAGAACAGCGCAUAGAGUAACUGUUAUGCGUGUGACGGUAUCUAACCAGAAAGCCACGGCUAACUACGUGCCAGCAGCCGCGGUAAUACGUAGGUGGCAAGCGUUGUCCGGAUUUAUUGGUCGUAAAGCGAGCGCAGGCGGUCAAUUAAGUCUGAUGUGAAAGCCCCCGGCUCAACCGGGGAGGGUCAUUGGAAACUGGUUGACUUGAGUGCAGAAGAGGAGAGUGGAAUUCCAUGUGUAGCGGUGAAAUGCGUAGAUAUAUGGAGGAACACCAGUGGCGAAGGCGACUCUCUGGUCUGUAACUGACGCUGAGGAUCGAAAGCGUGGGUAGCAAACAGG